rnacentral:rRNA from 1 species
UACGUAGGGUGCGAGCGUUGUCCGGAAUUAUUGGGCGUAAAGGGCGCGUAGGUGGCUUGGUAAGUCAAAGGUGAAAUCCCUCGGCUCAACUGAGGAAUUGCCUUUGAAACUGCCUGGCUUGAGACCGGGAGAGGUGAGUGGAAUUCCCAGUGUAGCGGUGAAAUGCGUAGAUAUCAGGAGGAACACCGGUGGCGAAGGCGGGUCUCUGGGCCGAUGACUGACGCUGAGGAGCGAAAGCGUGGGGAGCGAACAGG